CCUACGGGAGGCAGCAGUGAGGAAUAUUGGUCAAUGGGCGCGAGCCUGAACCAGCCAAGUCGCGUGAGGGAAGACGGCCCUACGGGUUGUAAACCUCUUUUGCCGGGGAGCAACGGGCGCCACGUGUGGCGCCACUGCGAGUACCCGGAGAACAAGCAUCGGCUAACACCGGGCCAGCGGCCGCGGUAAUACGGAGGAUGCGAGGGGUAUCCGGAUUUAUUGGGUUAAAGGGGUGCGUGGGCGGAGCGUUAAGUCAGGGGUAAAAUUGAGGGGCUCAACCCCUUCCCGCCAUUGAAACUGGCGCUCUUGAGUGGAAGAGAAGUAUGCGGAAUGCGUGGUGUAGCGGUGAAAUGCAUAGAUAUCACGCAGAACCCCGAUUGCGAAGGCAGCAUGCCGGCUUCCGACUGACGCUGAAGCACGAAAGCGUGGGGAUCGAACAGGAUUAGAUACCCUUGUAGUC
rnacentral:rRNA from 1 species